UACGGAGGGUGCUAGCGUUGUUCGGAAUCACUGGGCGUAAAGCGCGUGUAGGCGGCCCACUAAGUCUGAUGUGAAAGCCCGGGGCUCACCCCCGGAAGUGCAUUGGAAACUGGUGGACUCGAGUCCCGGAGAGGAGGGUGGAAUUCCUGGUGUAGCGGUGAAAUGCGUAGAUAUCAGGAAGAACACCCGUGGCGAAGGCGGCUCUCUGGGACGGUACUGACGCUGAGACGCGAAAGCGUGGGGAGCGAACAGG
rnacentral:rRNA from 1 species